UUGCUGGAGAAGAAGCUGUCCAUUGUGGACAGGGCAGUGGAAAGUAACCCUGCCAACGUGGACCUUAAACUGCAAGGAACUAUGGGAGCCUAACAUUUACAUUUACAUUUAUUCAUUUAGCUGACGCUUUUAUCCAAAGCGACUUACAAUUGCUAUAUAUGUCAGAGGUCGCACGCCUCUGGAGCAACUAGGGGUUAAGUGUCUUGCUCAGGGACACAUUGGUGUCUCACAGUGGAUUCGAACCCGGGUCUCCCACACCACAGACGUGUGUCUUAUCCACUGCGCUAACACCACACUGCAGAAAGACUGGAAGAAACUAGUGUUCAUCCAUCCAAACAGUGUGCCUUUAUGAAGGAAGCAUCUUCAUUUCGGUCAUUUCAGCACGUUCUCGGUGUCAAAGGUCAACAACGUGUUUCGAAAGUGUUUAAACACGCUCAGUGCAGUCCAGGAUGGCAGUAUGCUGUCUCACCCUCCACUUCCAGGCACCCAAGAAGACCUCUUUGAUUUUUUUUGAGCCAUUUUGGGACAGUGGAGAGCCCAGGAUUGGGGAACGGGGAGCUUGGGCAUGGAAAGCUUGGAUGCUUCAGCGGGAGAGAGGAAGAUGUGUGAUUCCACCUGAGCCAGAUAUGGGAAAUGGGUAAUGCUUGUUGGGGAUAGAUGCAGCGGAUGCUGUACACAGUCAGGCCAUCCAAAAACUGAUUUCCGGUAA
rnacentral:lncRNA from 1 species